ensembl:lncRNA
GUACUAAUGGUCUAUUUAAAUGAGACAGAAACGAAAGUAGGGAGAUUGGUCGAGGAGGAUGGGUGGGCAUAAUCUGUGACAGUCUAGCAAUCCAAAUGUUGCAUGUUCGAGUCGCGUCGGGGACAACUGUAGCAUUGUAGUUAACCCUUCCCGUAACCCUUACUCUAAACUUAACCCAAUUCACCUAACCUGCUACAUAAAUUCACAUAACCAAGGUAAAUUCUCCUCUAAUUAUCAUUUGGUGUCUUAGAUAAAGACGUGCAAUACUAUCCUCCAAGACGUAUGAUAAGUUACAUUAUCCAAUUCGUAUGCUAUUGUACAACCGGGUAAGAGGUAUGAUACUAUACGUCCUCUAAUUCGUAUGAUAUUGUACGACCGCUAUUCCAUUUAUAAUCUAACAUAUACUAAAUGGAGUGUCACACAUUUACUUACAAACAAAUAUAAAUUGCCCUGAGAUCACGUUGGCAGUUGAUGGGAUCUCAAGCUUGACUGGUUUACAAUGGCCUCCUGUUUGGAUGUUGUUGCUAUUGCACUACUGUCACAGAUCGCUGGUCACAGUGAAGGGCGACAAGAUGGAGGCCCCUGCCAGACAACACUCAUAAAUCCUGAAUGACGCAGAUUGAAAAGGCUACUGAUGAGCAAGCUGCUGACGGGCUGGUCUUGGGGCUGGCUGAGGGUCAAUCUCAUCCUCUUCUUCCAUCUCACUGUCAAACUCCGAACUGACAGAGACAUG